UACAGAGGGUGCGAGCGUUGUCCGGAAUCAUUGGGCGUAAAGCGCGCGUAGGCGGCCCGGUAAGUCCGUUGUAAAAGUCGAAGGCUCAACCUUCGAAAGCCGAUGGAUACUGCCGGGCUAGAGUACGGAAGAGGCGAGUAGAAUUCCUGGUGUAGCGGUGGAAUGCGCAGAUAUCAGGAGGAAUACCCAUAGCGAAGGCAGCUCGCUGGGACGUUACUGACGCUGAGGCGCGAAAGCGUGGGGAGCGAACAGG
rnacentral:rRNA from 1 species